rnacentral:lncRNA from 1 species
AACUGAAGGGAAGGCAUACUGACUGAACUGAACUGACUGAAGGGAAGACAUACUGACUGAACUGAACUGGCUGACGGGAAGACAUACUGACUGAACUGGCUGAAGGGAAGACUGACUGACUGAACUGGCUGAAGGGAAGACUGACUGACUGAACUGGCUGAAAGGGAGGAAGACUGACUGACUGAACUGGCUGAAAGGGAGGAAGACUGACUGACUGAACUGGCUGAAGGGAAUACUGACUGACUGAACUGGCUGAAGGGAAGACAUACUGACUGAACUGAACUGACUGAAUGGAAGACAUACUGACUGACUGAAGGGAAGACAUACUGACUGAACUGAACUGACUGAAGGGAAGACUGACUGACUGACUGAACUGACUGAAGGGAAUACUGACUGACUGACUGAACUGAAUUGACUGAAGGGAAGACUGACUGACUGACUGAACUGAACUGACUGAAGGGAAGACAUACUGACUGACUGAACUGAACUGACUGAAGGGAAGACAUACUGACUGACUGAACUGAACUGCCUGAAGGGAAGACAUACUGACUGAACUGAACUGACUGAAUGGAAGACUGACUGACUGACUGAAUGGAAGACAUACUGACUGACUGAACUGACUGAAUGGAAGACAUACUGACUGAGCUGGCUGAAGGGAAGACUGACUGACUGAACUGACUGAAGGGAAGACAUACUGACUGAACUGACUGACUGAACUGAACUGACUGAAGGGAAGACAUACUGACUGACUGAACUGACUGAAGGGAAGACAUACUGACUGACUGAAGGGAAGACAUACUGACUGAACUGAACUGACUGAAGGGAAGACUGACUGACUGAACUGACUGAAGGGAAGACUGACUGACUGACUGAACUGAAUUGACUGAAGGGAAGACUGACUGACUGACUGACUGAACUGAACUGACUGAAGGGAAGACAUACUGACUGAACUGAACUGACUGAAGGGAAGACAUACUGACUGAACUGAACUGACUGAAGGGAAGACUGACUGACUGACUGAACUGAAUUGACUGAAGGGAAGACUGACUGACUGACUGACUGACUGACUGACUGACUGACUGAACUGAACUGACUGAAGGGAAGACAUACUGACUGACUGAACUGAACUGACUGAAGGGAAGACAUACUGACUGACUGAACUGAACUGACUGAAGGGAAGACAUACUGACUGAACUGAACUGACUGAAGGGAAGGCAUACUGACUGAUCUGAACUGACUGAAGGGAAGACUGACUGACUGAACUGACUGAAGGGAAGACUGACUGAACUGAAUUGACUGAAGGGAAGACUGACUGACUGACUGACUGACUGACUGAACUGAACUGACUGAAGGGAAGACAUACUGACUGAACUGAACUGACUGAAGGGAAGACAUACUGACUGACUGAACUGACUGAAGGGAAGACAUACUGACUGACUGAACUGAACUGACUGAAGGGAAGACAUACUGACUGACUGAACUGAACUGACUGAAGGGAAGACAUACUGACUGACUGAACUGAACUGACUGAAGGGAAGACAUACUGACUGACUGAACUGAACUGACUGAAGGGAAGACAUACUGACUGAACUGAACUGAAGGGAAGGCAUACUGACUGAACUGAACUGAAGGGAAGGCAUACUGACUGAACUGAACUGAAGGGAAGGCAUACUGACUGAACUGAACUGACUGAAGGGAAGGCAUACUGACUGAACUGAACUGACUGAAGGGAAGACAUACUGACUGAACUGAACUGGCUGAAGGGAAGACAUACUGACGAACUGGCUGAAGGGAAGACUGACUGACUGAACUGGCUGAAGGGAAGACUGACUGACUGAACUGGCUGAAGGGACGACUGACUGAAGGGAAGACUGACUGACUGAACUGGCUGAAGGGAAGACUGACUGACUGAACUGGCUGAAGGGAAGGAAGACUGACUGACUGAACUGGCUGAAGGGACGACAGACUGACUGAACUGACUGAAGGGAAGACUGACUGACUGAACUGGCUGAAGGGAAGACUGACUGACUGAACUGGCUGAAGGGACGACUGACUGAACUGACUGAAGGGAAGACUGACUGACUGAACUGACUGAAGGGAAGACUGACUGACUGAACUGACUGAAGGGAAGACUGACUGACUGAACUGAACUGAUUGAAGGGAAGACUGACUGACUGAACUGAACUGACUGAAGGGAAGACUGACUGAACUGAACUGACUGAAGGGAAGACUGACUGACUGAACUGAACUGACUGAAGGGAAGACUGACUGACUGAACUGAACUGACUGAAGGGAAGACUGACUGACUGAACUGAACUGACUGAAGGGAAGACUGACUGACUGAACUGAACUGACUGAAGGGAAGACUGACUGACUGAACUGAACUGACUGAAGGGAAGACUGACUGACUGACUGACUGAACUGAACUGACUGAAGGGAAGACUGACUGACUGAACUGAACUGACUGAAGGGAAGACUGACUGACUGAACUGAACUGACUGAAGGGAAGACUGACUGACUGAACUGAACUGACUGAAGGGAAGACUGACUGACUGAACUGGCUGAAGGGAAGACUGACUGAACUGGCUGAAUGGAAGACUGACUGACUGAACUGACUGAAGGGAAGACUGACUGACUGAACUGGCUGAAGGGAAGACUGACUGACUGAACUGGCUGAAGGGAAGACUGACUGACUGAACUGGCUGAAGGGACGACUGACUGAAGGGAAGACUGACUGACUGAACUGGCUGAAGGGAAGACUGACUGACUGAACUGGCUGAAGGGAAG